AUUGAACGCUGGCGGCAUGCUUUACACAUGCAAGUCGAACGGUAACAGGGUGCUUGCACCGCUGACGAGUGGCGAACGGGUGAGUAGUGCGUCGGAACGUGCCGAGUAGUGGGGGAUAACGCAGCGAAAGUUGUGCUAAUACCGCAUACGUACUGAGGUAGAAAGUGGGGGACCUUCGGGCCUCACGCUAUUCGAGCGGCCGACGUCUGAUUAGCUAGUAGGUGAGGUAAAGGCUCACCUAGGCGACGAUCAGUAGCGGGUCUGAGAGGAUGAUCCGACACACUUGGACUGAGACACGGCCCAGACUCCUACGGGAGGCAGCAGUGGGGAAUUUUGGACAAUGGGCGAAAGCCUGAUCCAGCCAUGCCGCGUGUCUGAAGAAGGCCUUCGGGUUGUAAAGGACUUUUGUCAGGGAGGAAAUCCCUAGUGCUAAUAACACUGGGGGAUGACAGUACCUGAAGAAUAAGCACCGGCUAACUACGUGCCAGCAGCCGCCGUAA
rnacentral:rRNA from 1 species